AUUCCUAAUAUGUUCCCUUCCACAGUUGGAGUAAAACAAGGCUGCAUUCUAAGUCCUACCUUAUUUUCUUUUUAUAUAAAUGAUUUAACCUCAAUGUUUGAUAACACAUGUGAUCCUGUAACAUUACAUGACAUAAAAUUGUCUAGUCUUUUAUAUGCUGAUGACUUAGUAUUAAUAUCAGAAUCCUCAGAAGGUUUACAAAAUUGUCUAAAUAAGUUAAAUACUUAUUGUGAAAAAUGGAACUUGACUGUCAAUCUUGACAAGACAAAAACAAUGAUAUUUAAUAAAAGUGGUAAAAAACUUACUAAAGACAAGUUUGUAUUGAAUAAUGAAGUAAUUGAAUGUUGCACAGAAUAUAAAUAUUUAGGUAUACUAUUCAAGCCAUCAGGAAUUUUCACUAAUGCAGUAAAUCU
rnacentral:lncRNA from 1 species